rnacentral:rRNA from 1 species
CGUGCUAAUCUGCGAUAAGCGCCGGUAAGGUGAUAUGAACCGUUAUAACCGGCGAUUUCCGAAUGGGGAAACCCAGUGUGACUCGUCACACUAUCAUUAACUGAAUCCAUAGGUUAAUGAGGCGAACCGGGGGAACUGAAACAUCUAAGUACCCCGAGGAAAAGAAAUCAACCGAGAUUCCCCCAGUAGCGGCGAGCGAACGGGGAGGAGCCCAGAGCCUGAAUCAGCAUGUGUGUUAGUGGAAGCGUCUGGAAAGGCGCGCGAUACAGGGUGACAGCCCCGUACACAAAAGCGCAUGUGCUGUGAGCUCGAUGAGUAGGGCGGGACACGUGGUAUCCUGUCUGAAUAUGGGGGGACCAUCCUCCAAGGCUAAAUACUCCUGACUGACCGAUAGUGAACCAGUACCGUGAGGGAAAGGCGAAAAGAACCCCGGCGAGGGGAGUGAAAAAGAACCUGAAACCGUGUACGUACAAGCAGUGGGAGCCCCACCACUAAGCCAGUGGUGAACUCCACAUACGCAUCCUUUGCUGAGGAUACGGUUAACGGAGCGAAAGCGACGUUCAACCGCAAAAGAAGCAGAGGGGGCUUAGUGGUGGGGUGACUGCGUACCUUUUGUAUAAUGGGUCAGCGACUUAUAUUCUGUAGCAAGGUUAACCGUAUAGGGGAGCCGAAGGGAAACCGAGUCUUAACUGGGCGUUAAGUUGCAGGGUAUAGACCCGAAACCCGGUGAUCUAGCCAUGGGCAGGUUGAAGGUUGGGUAACACUAACUGGAGGACCGAACCGACUAAUGUUGAAAAAUUAGCGGAUGACUUGUGGCUGGGGGUGAAAGGCCAAUCAAACCGGGAGAUAGCUGGUUCUCCCCGAAAGCUAUUUAGGUAGCGCCUCGUGAACUCAUCUUCGGGGGUAGAGCACUGUUUCGGCUAGGGGGUCAUCCCGACUUACCAACCCGAUGCAAACUGCGAAUACCGAAGAAUGUUAUCACGGGAGACACACGGCGGGUGCUAACGUCCGUCGUGAAGAGGGAAACAACCCAGACCGCCAGCUAAGGUCCCAAAGUCAUGGUUAAGUGGGAAACGAUGUGGGAAGGCCCAGACAGCCAGGAUGUUGGCUUAGAAGCAGCCAUCAUUUAAAGAAAGCGUAAUAGCUCACUGGUCGAGUCGGCCUGCGCGGAAGAUGUAACGGGGCUAAACCAUGCACCGAAGCUGCGGCAGCGA